rnacentral:piRNA from 1 species
UAACAUCCCUGCUGCCAAUACUGAC